CGCUCGGCGAGGUGGGACUAAUCACCCGCCAACGCUCACGCCUUCCUUCCUUCUUCCUUCGUAGCAGGUUUGUGAGGCCGCCCAUGGAUACUGUGGGCUCCGACGGCCCACCUCAAAAAUCCCCUCUCAGUCAACUCCGCCGCCUUGCCUCAAAAAAAAAAAAAAAGUCAACUCCGCCGCCACCUCCUCCCUGCUUCGUCGGCUGCAGCCGUCCGCUGCUCCUCCCCAGCCUGUGGCCCGGACGACGGCAGCCGCCGGAGGGUUGCGCACUUCGUCGGCACACACACCGGCCGGGCCCGCCAAGGGUCAUAUUUACAGCGAUAUGCAGAUGUGGCUCGGUCAUGUGGAAGCAUGUAACCAGGAAGGAUUGCAUCUGAAUAAAUUGACACGACAGCAACUGUAUUAAUCGGGUUAGCGCACUGUUAGUUUCAUGUUUAUCCAUUCUCCUUUGUGUGAUGCAAACCUAAAUUGAUAUCUGUAUUAUACCGAACAGUCAGGUGUUAAGCUCUGAAACUUGUUCAAGCUUUGAGAGGGGUGUUUAUUUACCUAAUCAGCAAUUAUAACGGUAGCCUGCUAGAUCACCUGCUGAAAUUCUAUACUGUGUCACUGUUAAAGGACAUUCCCAGACAGAACCUUCCAGUACUAACCUACUAGACCAUGAGCUGGUUAACUUUAACAGGACACACAAUGACUGAACCUCCAUAGCAGCUAUUCCCCAAUCAAUAUCACAUUAACUGGAUUCAGACUCAUGGGACUGCGUCUUGUUUGUUAUUCACUGGAUUCUUGAUAUUUUUAUCAUUUCAUUUGACUCAGCCGAUUUUAAGUACUCAAAGUAUAAUAGCUGCACUAGUUUUUCUGUUUCGUCUAGCCCAGAUGAUAUUUUGCUUCAUUUAGUCCUCAGUGUAGCUUUAACUCAUCUAUUGCUUGCUUCUGUAAUUAACAGCUGUUUGGGCUUGUGGAGUUGGUGUCCCAAUGUUGGAAAGUCUGUACUUAUUCUUUCCAUUCAUAAAUUUGCCAAUCCUAAAUUUCCAGGUGGGACUAUUAUAAUAGAAACAUUGUUGUUUCGUUGAUAAUCGAUGUUUGUUGUUGCUCUAUACCCAAUGAAUGAUAAGAUCAAGCGGGCUACGGUUGGAUCACUAUCUGGAGUUGUUUUCUCGACACGACUGAAUUUGUUAAUUGAUUUUUUUCUGAGUGACAUUAUUAUUGCACCAGAUACCAGGAAAAACACACACCAAAUAACCCAUGUUAACUUGAUUGCUUUGUCGGUUGUACUAUGCUCGUGAAUGACUGCCCACUUGAGUUAUAUCUGAUUACCUUUUUUGUUUGUCACUGUGAUAUUUGCGCCUAUUCAACAGUAGAUGUAGUAUAAAAUACAAAUAUGCACACAUCCAUGGAUGGACUAACUGCUCGAAACUUAGAAUCUUAUUUUCCUAUUCUUUGCAUAUUAAUUUUGUAAUAGCAGAAGUAUUGCUUGCUCGCCCAGAAGAGUAAAAACACCAAUUUGUCAAAAUAUAUACCAUCUUAACCUGUCGAAGGCAUACCAUCCUGUCACAAUAAUGUUUCAGCUUUUAAUCCGUCCAAGGCACGUCUAGACUAUGGUCACUUUCCUUUACCAGCUCUGUGAUUUUACGUUGUGCAAUGGCUCCUGAUUAAGAUUAUUACUGUGAAAAAGAGCCAACCUCAUGUUAUCACAUACUCCGGAUUUCCUUGAUUAUUGUUAUAGAAGUAUUGUUUGCAUUAAUUUAUAUGAACCAUUUGUAUGCAUUAUCUUAGAGUUGCUUGCUGCUACUGCUGAUUUCACCUCCUCGAACUCACCUCGCGAAGGGCUUGUGGACGGCAGUGAGGAGCAUGGCAGGUGACUAGGUUGACCUCCUUGGCAACAGCAACAACAAGGACAAGGUUGGCGGUGGCGACAAGGGGCAAGGCAGCAGCGGCAGAGCAAUGGCAAUGGCUAGAAGUCUCUAAUCCCUUUGUUUCCUGCUUGGAUUAAAUUCUGCAGUGGAAAUAAUGUGAUUUUCCCUCUUCUUUCUGUUUUUGGAUCACCCCACCUUGACUAUACAGGUAGCACAAGGAGCUUGUGGGAUUUGAUAUCCUUAGUGUUGCUUAGUGAUAUUUCUCUACCCCGGGGCUGGAGAAUUUUGUUUCUAGAUGCACCUGAAGAAUCAUUACAAAUGGUAGUCUUCCUCCUUAUCAGCACAAUUGUCUUUAUGUUUUGGCCCACGAUCUUCUGAUGUAUGUGAAGACUGCUGAAAAGAAUAUCUGUUGUACAUGUGCUCCUCUUGAAUGUAUUUAUAUUUUCUAAUGUAUGUUAGUGAAAAGAAGAGGAAAUUCUUUGUAGAAACAGCUAAUAUGUUUGAACAUUGAUUUUGUGAAUAAUUAUGCUAUGCUUACAAGAUAUAUUUUUUCCGUUCUAUGAGAGUUCAUGUAGUUAUAAUAUGCUUGGCUAGGUUUUUUUUACUGAGAUCUUGAUUUAGCAAGCUCAUUUUUUUUUCCUCAGGUUGUUAUUAGACUAUGAUUUUAGAACUAGUUCAUAUUCAUGCAUUUUUUGGGGUCCAUAUAUGUAUUUUCUGAGGGGGUGCAUUGUGGAUUACUCAUGCUGACCUUCUGUCCUGAAAUAUAAAAUGUAAUAGAUUCCAAUAUUUAAGUUCCCCUGGUGAUUA